rnacentral:rRNA from 1 species
UUGGAGGGCAAGUCUGGUGCCAGCAGCCGCGGUAAUUCCAGCUCCAAUAGCGUAUAUUAAAGUUGUUGCAGUUAAAAAGCUCAUAGUUGAAUUUCGGGGUCAGUAGGUUGGUCAUGCCACUGGUAUGUACUGGCCUCACUGAUUCCUCCUUCCUGAUGAGCCGUAAUGCCAUUAAUUUGGUGUUGCGAGGAAUCUGGACUGUUACUUUGAAAAAAUUAGAGUGUUUAAAGCAGGCUAACGCUUGAAUACAUUAGCAUGGAAUAAUGAAAUAGGACGUUCGAUCUUAUUUUGUUGGUUUCUAAGAUUGACGUAAUGAUUAAUAGGGAUAGUUGGGGGCAUUAGUAUUCAAUUGUCAGAGGUGAAAUUCUUGGAUUUAUUGAAGACUAACUACUGCGAAAGCAUUUGCCAAGGAUGUUUUCAUUAAUCAAGAACGAAAGUUAGGGGAUCGAAGACGAUCAGAUACCGUCGUAGUCUUAACCAUAAACUAUGCCGACUAGGGAUCGGAUGUUGUUAAUUUUUUAAUGACUCAUUCGGCGCCUUACGGGAAAC